GGUAUUUGGUUUAAGUGGUAGCCCACUCGCCUGGCAUGCGUGUGGCCUGGGUUCGAUCCUCAGCACCA
rnacentral:tRNA from 1 species